AUUGAACGCUGGCGGCAGGCCUAACACAUGCAAGUCGAGCGAGUGGCGGACGGGUGAGUAAUGUAUGGGGAACUGCCCGAUGGAGGGGGAUAACUACUGGAAACGGUAGCUAAUACCGCAUACCAUCGGAUGUACCCAUAUGGGAUUAGCUAGUAGGUGAGGUAACGGCUCACCUAGGCGACGAUCCCUAGCUGGUCUGAGAGGAUGACCAGCCACACUGGAACUGAGACACGGCCCAGACUCCUACGGGAGGCAGCAGUGGGGAAUAUUGCACAAUGGGCGCAAGCCUGAUGCAGCCAUGCCGCGUGUAUGAAGAAGGCCUUCGGGUUGUAAAGUACUUUCAGCGGGGAGGCGUUACCGGCAGAAGAAGCACCGGCUAACUCCGUGCCAGCAGCCGCGGUAAUUC
rnacentral:rRNA from 1 species